ACCAAGAAAGAACUAUAUUUAUCGAGCUAGAUUAAUCGUCAGUAAAGUGUAGUACUUGCGGAAAAAAUAGAAAAAAUUGAAAGAAUAGGAAGCAUGGAUUUUUAAUCUAUUUUAAUCCAAAAUUUACUUAUUUAGCUAUAGGACAUAGCUUAUGUGUGUACGACUAAAAUCGAAUUAGACAUCAUCAAAUUAAUGCUAAAAAUAAAGCACCUAUGGAAAUUUAAAUCACAGCAGAACAGCUAUUAAGAGAAGCAAAGAAGAGAGAGAGAAGGAAAGGGAAAGACAAGGAGAAAGAUCAAGAAAUUUUAUCUCUUCCACCUGAACAAAAUAUCUUUAAUGAUAUAAUGAUUACAUGCGUUUGAAAGAUGAUAUAUCUCUAAAUAUUUUUAGAAAGAUUAUGAUAUAUUCGUUUAUUUCUUUAAAAGUUAUUAUAUCUUGAAAAUAAGUGAAAAUGACUGAAAAAGAAGAAAUUCGACAUAUUUUGAAAUUUUAUUACAAAAAAAGAAAAGAUGCCACUUAGGCUGCUAAACAAAUUUGUGAUGUUAUGGAUUUGAUGAAGUAUCAGUAUGUCUGGUACAAAGCUAGUUCAAGCGUUUCAAUCUGAAAAUUUUGAUAUAAGUGAUACAUUUCAUUUUGGUUUGCCAAUGAUUGAAAGAGUCGAUGAAAUCAGAAAAAAUUAUGCAAAACUGGCACAUUAAGAGUUAUAAUGUCUAAAAAGAACUCAUCAUAUAAUUUAACAACGAAAAAUUUAAUGGAUCAAAUCUUUAUCUAUGUUUAAACAGAAUGAAAUCAAAUCAUUUUGAAAUAGUUUAUUAUAGUUGAUGACAAAUGGAUCAUGUACAUUAAUAAUAUAUGGAAAAGAUUGUGGUUAAAGGAAAAUGAAGCUGCACAAAUGGUGGCAAAGUCAGGAUUGGCGACGUUAAGUGUCUGUGGUGAGAUCAUAAAGGAAUUGUUCACUAUGAGCUACUACUCUAUUGAGAUAAAACAAUCAGAAUGGAUCAAUAGUAAAGGUGUUAGCUUUUAUUAUGACAAUGCCACACUCUACACAUCAUAGAUGGUCCAUCAAAGACAGAGAAUUUGGCUACAAAGUUAUAAUACAUCCAUUAUAUAGUCCUGACAUUGCACCGUUAGAGUACCAUUUGUUUCAAUCUUUACAGAAUUCUCUUAACAGUGUAAAGUUGGCUGCAAAAGAGGCAUGUGAAAAUCAUUUGAUAAAGUUUUUCAUCCAGAAAAACAUAGAAAUUCUACAAUGAUGGGAUUAUAAUUUUACCUCAAAAAUGGUAAAAAAUGAUGAAUCAAAAGGGCACAUAUCUGGUGUAAUACACUUCAUUUGAAAUAUAAAAACCUAUUAGUUAUAACUAACUGUAUAAAAUAUGCUCACAAGAUCACAAGAAACAAAUUGAGAUAUCAAGCUACUUUGAAUAGAACAAAUUUUUAAUUUUGUAGUAUUAUGAUAGAUUGCGAUUGAAUCCUGGGAUGUUUUACUGCAGCAAAGAUGUUUUACUGUUGCGGUCGUACCAGGAUAUUCUUGGUACAAGUAUGUUAUGGUUAUUUAGGCAGGGAACUUAACACUGCUUAUCUUACUGUACUUUUCGCUCAUCUAUAAACAUUUUGUUUUAUCUGAAGGAAAAGUCAUUCUUUCCAUACAAGCAAUGGAUUUAUUAUUGACAUUUAUUACCUUUUAUUUUUUUAAUAUUUAUCGUUAUUCAUCUUAUUUUUUAUAUUUCUAAAAGCUAUAUUCUCAAAUGUCUAAAAGAAGAUGUGAGUCUAACAAUUAUAAGGAUGUGCAAAGAAAUAGUGAUGAAUUUUAUAUAGAUUAUCAUGACAAGUCGAAUGAUUAUAUUAAUGAUGAUGAUUUCAAUGAUAACUUGGAUGAUAAUAAUGAUAUUAUAGUGCCUAGAAGAAAAUGUAUAGUGCAAUUACAUUCAAGUGGCAAUGACAUUGAAGUAACAUUAGAAAAUAGUAUUCCAAGUAUAUGGCAAGAUGUUAUACAUGAAAAUGUUCAAUUACUAAAAAUAGAAUUUUUAGUAGGAUCAAGAAGUCCCAGUGCACACAUUCCUGCAACAUACACAGACCCAAUUGAUUUUUUUCAUCAGGUUUUUUUACUGAUGAGUUGCUUCAAGAUAUUAUAAAAGAAACGAAUUAAUAUGCCAGGAUAUUGCAGUGUUAUCAUGUCGUUCGAUAUGGAAUAGUUGUAUAGAUGUGACAGUGACAGAAAUAAUAGCAUUUAUACUCAACAUGGGUAUUGUAAAAUUACCAGAUGAGGAAGAGUAGUCAUUGCAUCAAUAUAAUUCGAAAAUACUAUUUUUUUUGGACAUAUUUUGGAGAGUAAGAUUUUUCCAAAUUUAUUGGAUGUUAUAUUUAAAUACAAAUACUUCAAAUGAUAGAAUAAGAAUUUAAAAAGCUAGUGACUUAAAUUAUACUGAAGCUACAUUCGAAGACUAUUUUGUUUCAAAUAAAGAAAUUUCAAUCGAUGAAUCUGUCAUAAAAUUCAAAGGAAGAAUUAGUUUUGUUACUUAUAACGUAACAUACAUAAUAUACAUUAACACUAAGAAAUCAACGAAAUGGGAAAUUUGUAUUUAUAUAUUGGCAGAUUCUGAUACCAGAUACAUUCAUUUUAUUCAUACUAUGGAAGUUCUACUACAGAAUCAUUGAUACAUUCCAAUUUCCCAGUAACUACCACAAGAAUUGUAUUACAUCUGUAUAUAAAAUUAUUACAUUCUAAUCCUGAUGCUCGAAAUUAUAUUUAUACUGAUAGAUUUUAUGCAAGUAUAACAUUGGCCCAUGAAUUAUUAAAAUUGAAAUAUUAUGCUAUUGGAAUAAUAAACUAAAAUCAAAUGUACAUAGUCUACAUAAAACAAAAUCUUACAUUGAUCAAGCAUGAAUGUUUUUGGCUGUCGAUUUGGAGAAACAUUCAUACUAUUAUAGAAAGAUAAAAGAAUUGUAAUAAAUAAUUGCCGAAUAUAAUAUAUAUAUGGAUGGCGUCGACCGAGUCGAGUAAUAUAGAGAGAUAAAAGAAUUAUAAUAAAUAAUUGCCGAAUAUAAUAUAUAUAUGGAUGGCGUCGACCGAGUCGAGUAAUAUACAUUUUAUCCGUUUUCAUGAAGUCUCUAAAAUGGUUAAAAAAAAAUUAUUCUUUUUAGAUUUAAAAAUUUAUUCUGCGAAUAGCUAUAUAUUAUAUAAUAAUAAGAAGGCAAAACACCCAUAUGACAUCUAAAAUUUAUUAGAAAAUUGAUAGAUCAAUUGGUGGGUAAUUGAGAUUUGUGAUGGAUCUCAGACUUCGCAUGGUAGACUAUCAAUCUCGGAUAAAGAAGAGCGAUUAAACAGAAAAUUACAUAUUCUACAACAAAAUCAAGGAAAUUUGAGCAAGGAGUAUUUUGUUUGUUCUGAUAAGAAAAAAGAUCAAAAACGAGAAUCCCGAUACCACUAUGAAACAUGUACAAGAAAACUGUGAUUGCUCAUUUGGGAUUACUUUGAUAUAUAUCAUAUCAAAGAAAAUUUCUAUAAAAUAUUGAAUAUCGAAAUAAUAAAUAAUAUACACACAGUUUAAACACAUCCUUUUGAAUAAGAUUUAUACAUCUUUUAGAUAAUAAUUGAAUAAGAUACGAUUACUAUGCUUACAAAAAAUACAAUCGCAAAGAGUCAAAAACAUUUCAGAGUUUUAUAUGUAAUUUCUUUCAUAUCUAUAUAUGUAAGUAUCUUAUAUAUCGAUUAUAAAAAUAUUAGAUUAUGACCGAAAUAUAUUAAAAUGGGAAUGCUAAAUUGGCAAGUAAAUUAUACUAGAAAUUUAUGGAAUCAUGCAAUUACAAUUUACCUAAAAAAAAGCAAAUCAAUUUUGAUACAAGUAUACAUAUAUAGGGGAAAUGUUAGAAAAUAUUACUGGAGCGUGCCAUAUUUUGAGCAUUGAAUGGAUUGAAAACCUGAUGAGCAAAUAUAUUAAAUUUGAUUUACUAUAUAAACAAAUAUGAAGAGAAAGGAAGAUAUAUGAACGUAUUUGGAUAAAAAUGAUGGAUAAGAAGAAAUAUUCUACUUUGUAUUUUUAUAAGACGAAUCUCAAACACUAAAUCUCAAAUUGUUGAUAUUUAUAAAAACAUAGGAUAAAGAAAAAAAUUUAUAGUAAAACUGUUCAAAAUGGAAAUAAAUAAUUGAAAUCGAACAAUCACAAAUAAUUUAUAUAUCUUACAUAUUAUAUUUAUAUUUAAAAAAUGUAAAAUGUAAUAUAGAUAUUGUGUACAAUUUUAUAUUUAUCUUGAUUCAUCUGUAGAAUGCGAAAGAUGUAAAAAUUAUGCUGUCUGAUAUUUUUUUAAUGUAAAAAUAGUUUAUAUUUCGGAAAUAAAAAACAAUGUUGUAUAAUA